UAAAAAAUGAGUUAUGAAUUAACGUAGGACCGUCACUCCUAAGUCAUCACAGAAGUGAUAUUUUUUAG
rnacentral:tRNA from 1 species